GGAGAGGUGUCCGAGUUGGCCGAAGGAGCGCGAUUGGAAAUCGCGUAGGCGUUGUUAAGGCGUCUCGUGGGUUCGAAUCCCACCCUCUCCG
rnacentral:tRNA from 1 species